rnacentral:misc_RNA from 1 species
UAUUCAUCAUUUUUUCUCUUCAGCUUUGGGCAAUCUAACUAAUUUGUAAAUUGUUAAUUAGUAGUAUGUCUUCCUGCCUUUCUGUAAUAUUCUCACUUGAGCUCAUGCUUUUUUGUAAUAUUCUGAAAAUUGGCAUCUCUACUGAUCGAAGAUGUACCUUUCAGCCUUCGAUAACUUUACUUACCCUUUGUUCGUUUCUUUUAGCCUAUAUUUUCUAUUUAACGUCUUCACUUUG